rnacentral:tRNA from 2 species
GGUGCGGUGGCGGAGAGGCUACGCUGCGGCCUGCAAAGCCGUCUACACCGGUUCGAAUCCGGUCCGCACCUCCA